GAUCCUGGCUCAGGAUGAACGCUAGCUACAGGCUUAACACAUGCAAGUCGAGGGGAAACGAUAUUGGAAGCUUGCUUCCGAUAGGCGUCGACCGGCGCACGGGUGAGUAACGCGUAUCCAACCUGCCCACCACUUGGGGAUAACCUUGCGAAAGUAAGACUAAUACCCAAUGAUAUCUCUAGAAGACAUCUGAAAGAGAUUAAGAUUAUCGUGGAUGGAGUGGGGAGUGCGU
rnacentral:rRNA from 1 species